rnacentral:rRNA from 1 species
CACGUAGGGCGCAAGCGUUGUCCGGAAUUACUGGGCGUAAAGGGCGCGUAGGCGGCCGUUUGCGUCGGAUGUGAAAGCCCGGGGCUCAACCUCGGAACGGCAUUCGAUACGGGACGGCUGGAGACCGGGAGAGGAGAGUGGAAUAGCCAGUGUAGAGGUGAAAUUCGUAGAUAUUGGCUGGAACACCGGUGGCGAAAGCGGCUCUCUGGCCCGGUUCUGACGCUGAGGCGCGAAAGCGUGGGGAGCAAACAGG